UACGCCCGUGCGUCAUCACGGCCCCGCGGUGCUACGUCACGCGCGCCUAUGCCGCAGGUCGCCCGUCGGGCUCACGUAAGAGCAUGCGCGCAGGUGAGGGGCGGGGCCUGUGUCUCCGGCGCCCAAACAUUGGAGUCGGUUUGGGCGCAGAGCCUCACGCCAGGGCCGGUGGCCUUACUGACUUUCUUCACCUGGUAUGUAACAUGUAUGUCAUGGCACUCAGAUGGAUCAGAGGGGGCCAAGACUGUAUCUGAAACUAGCAGCUGAACGUGGCAAUAUGUAAGCAUCUCCCACAUGGUAUUGGUUUUGAAGGCUUGAAGGGCUUAUGGAGAGCAUCUGAGACUUAGCGUCAUAUAACAAGGUUGGAGUCCUUACAGAAGGCAGAAGGCCAUUGGUGAGGGUGCAGACUCAGUUACAAUGGAGACUUGCGUAUUGAAGGUCUCAGAAGAAGAAGCUGAGGUUUUGUGCAUGUGUCGGGGUCAGUCCCUGAAGAAGCCAAGAGAGGCAAUUGGUGAAGAUUCAACCUCAAUUGCAAUGAAGAUUCCAGCAUACUAGUGAUGCCAGUACCCUGGGAUGAUAGACAAGGACAGCAGCAGGUGUGGCAUGGAGCUGGCUUGAUCCUACAAAACAAGCUAUGUGGAUUGUGGAUGGCAGAUUGGUAGAGUUGAAGCUUCACGAUGCCUUUGCAGUCCAGACUGGGAUUGAAUGCCAGUAGAGGACACUGAGCUACAGGGUUGGAUUUACACUGCUGGAUGUUGAUUCUUCUUUGAUUUGA